UAAGUACUCCCUCCAUUCCAAAUUACUUGUCUUAAAUUUGUCUAGAUACGGAGAUAUCUAGCACUAAAAUAAGUCUAGAUACAUCUGUAUCUAGACAAAUCCAAGACAAGUAAUUCGGAACGGAGAGAGUAAAAA
rfam:Triticum urartu cultivar G1812 contig104194, whole genome shotgun sequence.